rnacentral:rRNA from 1 species
AUACCUGCAAAGCAGACAGCGAACCCGUGUUUAACACCGGCGGCGUGCGGCGGGGGCGAUCCCCGUCACGCGCUCGUCUCCCCCGCCGGCGUGCUCCCUCGGGUCACGCCGUGCGGGCUAACGAACCCCGGCGCGGAAUGCGCCAAGGAAUACCUAACGAAGCGUCCUCCCCCCGCACCCCGUUCGCGGACCGUGUGGGGGCGACCGGAUGUCUUACAAAUGUCAUAACGACUCUCGGCAACGGAUAUCUCGGCUCUCGCAUCGAUGAAGAACGUAGCGAAAUGCGAUACUUGGUGUGAAUUGCAGAAUCCCGUGAACCAUCGAGUCUUUGAACGCAAGUUGCGCCCGAAGCCAUUUGGCCGAGGGCACGUCUGCCUGGGCGUCACGCAUCGCGUCGCCCCCCACCCUGCGCUUAGCGAAAGGGCGGGGAGCGGAAACUGGCCUCCCGUUCGCCUUUGGUGUGCGGCUGGCCCAAAUGCGAUCCCUCGGCGACUCGCGUCACGACAAGUGGUGGUUGAACACUCAAUCCCUUGCGUCGUCGUGCCGCUGUGUCGUUCUUACGGGUGUCAAACAACGACCCUAGGUGGCGGUGCCUCACGGCUCCACACCUUCGACCGCGACCC